GACGAACGCUGGCGGCGUGCCUAAUACAUGCAAGUUGAGCGCUGAAGGUUGGUACUUGUACCAACUGGAUGAGCAGCGAACGGGUGAGUAACGCGUGGGGAAUCUGCCUUUGAGCGGGGGACAACAUUUGGAAACGAAUGCUAAUACCGCAUAAAAACUUUAAACACAAGAUUUAAGUUUGAAAGAUGCAAUUGCAUCACUCAAAGAUGAUCCCGCGUUGUAUUAGCUAGUUGGUGAGGUAAAGGCUCACCAAGGCGAUGAUACAUAGCCGACCUGAGAGGGUGAUCGGCCACAUUGGGACUGAGACACGGCCCAAACUCCUACGGGAGGCAGCAGUAGGGAAUCUUCGGCAAUGGACGAAAGUCUGACCGAGCAACGCCGAGUGAGUGAAGAAGGUUUUCGGAUCGUAAAACUCUGUUGGUAGAGAAGAACGUUGGUGAGAGUGGAAAGCUCAUCAAGUGACGGUAACUACCCAGAAAGGGACGGCUAACUACGUG
rnacentral:rRNA from 1 species